rnacentral:rRNA from 1 species
UCCGUAGGUGAACCUGCGGAGGGAUCAUUACCGAGUUUACAACUCCCAAACCCAUGUGAACAUACCUACUGUUGCUUCGGCGGGAUUGCCCCGGGCGCCUCGUGUGCCCCGGACCAGGCGCCCGCCUAGGAAACUUAAUUCUUGUUUUAUUUUGGAAUCUUCUGAGUAGUUUUUACAAAUAAAUAAAAACUUUCAACAACGGAUCUCUUGGUUCUGGCAUCGAUGAAGAACGCAGCGAAAUGCGAUAAGUAAUGUGAAUUGCAGAAUUCAGUGAAUCAUCGAAUCUUUGAACGCACAUUGCGCCCGCCAGUAUUCUGGCGGGCAUGCCUGUCUGAGCGUCAUUUCAACCCUCAUGCCCCUAGGGCGUGGUGUUGGGGAUCGGCCAAAGCCCGCGAGGGACGGCCGGCCCCUAAAUCUAGUGGCGGACCCGUCGUGGCCUCCUCUGCGAAGUAGUGAUAUUCCGCAUCGGAGAGCGACGAGCCCCUGCCGUUAAACCCCCAACUUUCCAAGGUUGACCUCAGAUCAGGUAGGAAUACCCGCUGAACUUAAGCAUAUCAAUAACGGGAGGA